AGAGACUGCAUGACCAGAACCCAAUGUUCUUGGGUAUGUCAACCACCUUACCUACAAAAGAGACUGCAUGACCAGAACCCAAUGUUCUUGGGUAUGUCAACCACCUUACCUACAAAAGAGACUGCCUGACCAGAACUCAAUGUUCUUGGCUAUGUCAACCACCUUGCCUACAAAAGAGAUUGCCUGACUAGGACCCAAUGUUCUUGGCUAUGUCAACCAUCUUACCUACAAAAGAGACUGCAUGACCAGGUCGCAAUGUUCUUGGGUAUGUCAACCAACUCACCUACAAAAGAGACUGCAUGACCAGGACUCAAUGUUCUUGGCUAUGUCAACCACCUUGCCUACAAAAGAGACUGCCUGACUAGGACCCAAUGUUCUUGGCUAUGUCAACCAUCUUACCUACAAAAGAGACUGCAUGACCAGAACCCGAUGUUCUUGUCAAUGUCAACUAUUGGCCGACUUACUAUAAAGGGGACCAGCUUGGGAUGUAAGAACCUUACAGGACUUCUCAGGAAUAUCUGAUAAACCCAGCAAUUCUUGAACCCUUUGGACUUGGUUGAUACAGAGGUGAAAGGACACCAAGACCUCUUCCUUCUCUGCCUAAAAUCCCAGGCGGUAAUAAUGACGCCUUGUCUGGAGCAACGUUUGGCGAGCUGUCAAGACCCGACCAUCGUGCUCUUAACUAGAGGUCCAAAGGACUGACGAUGGAGGCCCAACCAGUGAGCUAAACAAAGUACAACAAGUAUAAGCUCAUUCGCCUGGUAGCCCAUUGGCCAUGCUUCAUCCUCGCCCAAACUUUGGGCCAACGUUCCAGACUAAAAGGAAUGGUCGCAUCCAACCGAAAAGACCGCUAAUGCUGGAAGAGGUCUUUCAUCAAAUACUGGACUUCAACUCCAAAGCCCCCCCACCAUGAACUUUGACAAAAACAAACUUCAUCUACAAAUCAAUCAUUCUUUCGUUUUUGCAAUCCCCUUCCCAGAUCUUCACAACUGUCCACCUCCAAGGUGCAUCGUCCAAUCAGAGUCUCCAUACAUUUUGGUGGACAUCCUUCCUAAGAUGCAAAUAUCUUUCAUGCAAUAUGUCUAACGUGCAAUGAAUGUACAUUUUUAUUUUUUAUUCUUAAUGAAAUAAUGUUGAUACCUCUCUUAGAAUUUACCGGAAUGUACCACUUAAAGGCAAAAGAUGAACUGUCAAGAAAAGUCAUUCUAAAAAAAAAAAGUGACCUUAAUUGGAAAACAGUAGCACUUUUACUAAGAAAAGAAAAAGAUUCUGUGUUUUGCACAAAAAGAUCUUCACAGUCUUGUCUAUUCUUGUAUGAAAGCACAUUGCAUUAUCCAAAGAUCAUGUAAAGAGGUUGAGAUUACCUGAAAGCCAUAAUGUAUUCAUAGAAUUUGUUCGUUAAUAAAAUUAUAUUUGAUGGAAA